AACGAACGCUGGCGGCGUGCCUAACACAUGCAAGUCGAACGGAUUGAAGGGGCUUGCUCCUUCAGUUAGCGGCGCACGGGUGAGUAACGCGUAGAUAAUCUGCCUGAUGAUCAGGGAUAACAGUUCGAAAGGACUGCUAAUACCGGAUAAGCCCACGUGGUCUUUGGACCGUGCGGGAAAAGGGGGGGACCUUCGGGCCUUCUGUCAUCAGAUGAGUCUGCGUACCAUUAGCUAGUUGGUAGGGUAAUGGCCUACCAAGGCUACGAUGGUUAGCUGGUUUGGGAGAAGGAUCAGCCACACUGGAACUGAGACACGGUCCAGACUCCUACGGGAGGCAGCAGUGGGGAAUUUUGCGCAAUGGGCGAAAGCCUGACGCAGCAACGCCGCGUGAGUGAUGAAGGCUUUCGGGUCGUAAAGCUCUGUCGAGGGGAAAGAAGUGUAUUGUGGUUAAUACCCGCGAUACUUGACGGUACCCUCAAAGGAAGCACCGGCUAACUCCGUGCCAGCAGCCGCCGCCGUAA
rnacentral:rRNA from 1 species